GGUUACCCAAUUGGUGGUGACACAAUCUCUGUCACAAGUGGAGUUGUUUCACGUAUGGAGAUAUUGUCUUAUGUACAUGGAUCAACUGAGCUUUUGGGAUUACAGAUAGACGCAGCUAUAAAUUCUGGGAACUCUGGUGGUCCUGCA